rnacentral:lncRNA from 1 species
GAGUGAGUUUCAGGAUAGCCAGGGCUACACAGAGAAACCUUGUCUGGAAAAACCAAAAAAAAAAAAAAAAAAAAAAAAAAAGUUAAUUGGAGAGAGAGAGAGACAGACAGACAGACAGACAGACAGAAAAGUAUGGUUAAUCCUGGGACCUUGACAAUCUAGGGAAUGAUAUAAUACCGGUUAUAGUUCCAUCUAUGAAACAAAAACUUUUUUUAAAUGCUAAUUUUUUAAACAAAACCUUUUUAAAGGAUAGGUAAGGAUGGGGCUAAGGAAGCUAUAAUGCUGUGAGGGCAAUCACAUUACUCCUAAGAGGUAGGAAACCUGAGCAGGUUGAGCCCUAUUUGAUAGUAUGCUGUACUUUGGUCACAGCAGUAACAUGAAUAAGGAAGGUGUUUAAAGCUAUCUUGGUGGGUAAGGAGAAUAGACACAGUAGUCUUGGCAGUAAGCCUGGCUUCUAAAACUGAAUCCAAGUCAUCAAAUUUGCCCAGACAUGCCAUAUGAGGUUCAAGUAACCGAGGAGUAAAUUUUAUUCAGGGAGACUUAAAAGAGACAAACAAGAGCAAGCUUUUUUUCUGUGUAUAUAUUUAUAUCACACAACUUUCCUGCGUGCUUGUAGUUGGCAAGCUUUUGGCAAGAGAGACAACUGGAGCUAUAAGAUUUAAAAGUAAGAUAGAUAGCCCAUGAAUUGAUAACUUACCAUUACCUGAAAUUUGUUUGGAAAGUUUUAGUUGACACAUUGGUAUUUGUGUGUGAAAAGGACUGUAAUUCAAUGAAAGCCUGAAAAUCCCAGGCAUUCUUAAGUAACUUAAAAAGUUUCAUUUCUCAUAAAAUGUAGAGUUUCCAUAUGUCUUGCUUUUUGCAGCAGGUAAGAGCUCUGCAUGUAAAAUAUAUAUCUCAGCCAAGUGUGAUUGAUGACUUUAUUUCUGCAAUUCUAGUAUUUGAGAAGCUAGGCCAGGGUCACUGCUGUGAGUUUGAGUCUGACCUUAGUUUUAUGUUAAGUCUAGGUUAGCUUGGUUUUUAAUGUCAGAUCCUUUGUCAAACCUUUGCCUUUUAUUUAUUUGUUUGUUUGUUUGUUUGUUUAUUUAUUUGGUUAGUGCUUUAGACUUUUGUUUUUCUUAGCUAGGCAGUGGUGGCAUGCACUUGAUCCCAUCACUUGGGAGCCAGAAGCAGGUGGAUUUCAGAGUUUGGGGCCAGCCACUACAGAGUGAGUUCUCAGACAACCAGUACUACACAGAGAAACCCUGUCUCGAAAAACC